GAUGAACGCUGGCGGCGUGCCUAAUACAUGCGAGUCGAGCGAACGGACGAGAAGCUUGCUUCUCUGAUGUUAGCGGCGGACGGGUGAGUAACACGUGGAUAACCUACCUAUAAGACUGGGAUAACUUCGGGAAACCGUAGCUAAUACCGGAUAAUAUUUUGAACCGCAUGGUUCAAAAGUGAAAGACGGUCUUGCUGUCACUUAUAGAUGGAUCCGCGCUGCAUUAGCUAGUUGGUAAGGUAACGGCUUACCAAGGCAACGAUGCAUAGCCGACCUGAGAGGGUGAUCGGCCACACUGGAACUGAGACGCGGUCCAGACUCCUACGGGAGGCAGCAGUAGGGAAUCUUCCGCAAUGGGCGAAAGCCUGACGGAGCAACGCCGCGUGAGUGAUGAAGGUCUUCGGAUCGUAAAACUCUGUUAUUAGGGAAGAACAUAUGUGUAAGUAACUGUGCACAUCUUGACGGUACCUAAUCAGAAAGCCACGGCUAACUACGUG
rnacentral:rRNA from 1 species